AGGGUUUGAUCCUGGCUCAGAACGAACGCUGGCGGCAUGGAUUAGGCAUGCAAGUCGAACGAGAAAGCGACUUCGGUCGUGAGUAAAGUGGCGCAAGGGUGAGUAAUGCAUGGACAACCUACCCCCAAGCCGGGGAUAACCACCCGAAAGGGUGACUAAUACCGGAUGUGGUGGGAAGACUGUCUGGUUUUCUCAUUAAAGGUGGGGAUCCUUCGGGACCUUCCGCUUGGUGAGGGGUCCAUGUCCUAUUAGCUUGUUGGUGGGGUAACGGCCUACCAAGGCUUUGAUGGGUAGCCGACUUGAGAGGGUGAUCGGCCACACUGGAACUGAGACACUGUCCAGACUCCUACGGGAGGCUGCAGUCGAGAAUCAUUCCCAAUGGGCGCAAGCCUGAGGAUGCGAUGCCGCGUGGAGGACGAAGGCCUUCAAGGUUGUAAACUCCGGUCUCGUGUGAAGAACUGCACUGAAGAUAAUAUCAACAGUGCUUGACGUUAGCAUGAGAGAAGUUCCGGCUAACUACGUGCCAGCAGCCGCGGUAAUACGUAGGGAGCAAGCGUUGUUCGGAAUCACUGGGCAUAAAGAGCACGUAGGCUGCUCAGUUAGUCAGAUGUGAAAGCCCCUGGCUCAACCAGGGAAUUGCAUUUGAUACUGCUGGGCUUGAGGGCGGCAGGGGAGAGUGGAACUCGUGGUGGAGCGGUGAAAUGCGUAGAUAUCACGAGGAACACCGGUGGCGAAAGCGACUCUCUGGGCCGUUUCUGACGCUGAGGUGCGAAAGCCAGGGUAGCGAACGGGAUUAGAUACCCCGGUAGUCCUGGCCGUAAACGAUGGGCACUAGGUAGGGGGGAUACUGUCAUUUUCCUUGCCGGAUCUAAUUUUUUAAGUGCCCCGUCUGUUGAGUACGGUCGCAAGACUGAAACUCAAAGGAAUUGGCGGGGGUCCGCACAAGCGGUGGAGCAUGUGGUUUAAUUCGAUGAUAAGCGAGGAACCUUACCAG
rnacentral:rRNA from 1 species